GAUCCUCAGUCCUGGCGUUACAGAUGGUUGUGAGCCAUCAGGAUGCCAGUCAUAGUUGGACUGGGGCCCAGCCACAGAACCUCAUUUAGCCUUAAUUUCCUCGUCUUGCAACCACAGUCACAUUCUGAGGUGUAUUAAGGUUGCCUUCGGCCAUGCUGUUUUAGCACAGCAGCAGAAACCCUAACUAAGGAUGGCCAUGGUAUCGAGCUGGCCUCUGAAUUUCUAUCUCUAGACCCAUAGAGAACUCAUCAGAGAAGUGUCUUUGUGCAAUAGAGAGGUUAAUGAAGAAAUUCACCUCUGAUCAAAGCUCAGAGAAUAAGUGUCAGUCAUAAGUGGGACAUGUG